UACAGAGGGUGCAAGCGUUGUUCGGAAUUACUGGGCGUAAAGCGCGUGUAGGCUGCCUUGCAAGUCGGGUGUGAAAGCCCUGGGCUCAACCUAGGAAGUGCACUCGAAACUGCGGGGCUGGAGUCCUGGAGGGGAAGGCGGAAUUCUCGGUGUAGAGGUGAAAUUCGUAGAUAUCGAGAGGAACACCGGUGGCGAAGGCGGCCUUCUGGACAGUGACUGACGCUGAGGCACGAAAGCGUGGGGAGCAAAAGGG
rnacentral:rRNA from 1 species